rnacentral:misc_RNA from 1 species
GUAAUUCCCAAUGAUCGUCUGCUAGAUAUUGCCGAUGAGCAGACACCACUUCAAGAUGCUUUUCUUCUUGCGGAUGAUGUAUUACGUCAAGGUGUCCAAGGAAUAUCUGAUAUAAUCACUAUUCCUGGGCUUGUGAAUGUGGAUUUUGCCGAUGUAAAGGCAGUGAUGAAAGACUCUGGAACUGCAAUGCUCGGAGUGGGUGUUUCAUCAAGUAAGAACCGAGCUGAAGAAGCAGCCGAACAAGCAACUCUGGCCCCUCUAAUUGGGUCGUCAAUUCAAUCUGCAACUGGGGUAGUAUAUAACAUUACAGGAGGAAAAGACAUAACUUUGCAAGAAGUGAAUAGGGUGUCCCAGGUUGUUACCAGUCUAGCUGAUCCCUCUGCUAACAUCAUAUUUGGUGCUGUUGUUGAUGAGCGUUACAAUGGUGAAAUACACGUGACAAUAAUUGCAACUGGUUUCACCCAGUCGUUUCAGAAGACACUUCUAUCUGAUCCACGGGGAGCAAAGCUAAUCGAGAAGGGGGCAGGAAUCAAAGAAAACAUGGCAUCACCUGUUACCCUGAGAUCAUCAAACACACCUUCAACAACCUCACGGACACCUACUCGAAGGCUGUUCUUUUAGCUCCUUCAUAUUGUUUUAUUUUACAGCUUCAUUACUCUCCUUUUUAGUUUCUUCCUUUGUAGUUAACAUGUUUUGCUGAAGGGAAACUGAUUGGUGUUUGC